rnacentral:rRNA from 2 species
AGAGUUUGAUCCUGGCUCAGAUUGAACGCUGGCGGCAGGCCUAACACAUGCAAGUCGAACGGUAACAGGAAACAGCUUGCUGUUUCGCUGACGAGUGGCGGACGGGUGAGUAAUGUCUGGGAAACUGCCUGAUGGAGGGGGAUAACUACUGGAAACGGUAGCUAAUACCGCAUAACGUCGCAAGACCAAAGAGGGGGACCUUAGGGCCUCUUGCCAUCGGAUGUGCCCAGAUGGGAUUAGCUAGUAGGUGGGGUAACGGCUCACCUAGGCGACGAUCCCUAGCUGGUCUGAGAGGAUGACCAGCCACACUGGAACUGAGACACGGUCCAGACUCCUACGGGAGGCAGCAGUGGGGAAUAUUGCACAAUGGGCGCAAGCCUGAUGCAGUCAUGCCGCGUGUAUGAAGAAGGCCUUCGGGUUGUAAACCUCUUUCAGCCCUGACGAAGCCCUCUUGGGGGUGACGGUAGGGGUAGAAGAAGCACCGGCCAACUACGUGCCAGCAGCCGCGGUAAU